rnacentral:rRNA from 1 species
GACGAGCCACCCGAACGUUAUUCGGAAUUACUGGGCUUAAAGGGUGCGUAGGCGGUGUAGCAAGUCGGGAGUGAAAUACCCCAGCUUAACUGAGGAAUUGCUUUCGAUACUGCUGCGCUUGAGUGAGACAGAGGUAAGCGGAACUUAGGGUGGAGCGGUGAAAUGCGUUGAUAUCCUAAGGAACACCGGUGGCGAAGGCGGCAUUCUGGACCGACAUUGACGCUGAGGAGCGAAAGCCAGGGGAGCAAACGGG